AUUGAACGCUGGCGGCAGGCCUAACACAUGCAAGUCGAACGGUAACAGGAAGAAGCUUGCUUCUUUGCUGACGAGUGGCGGACGGGUGAGUCAUGUCUGGGACACUGCCUGAUGGCGGGGGAUAACUCCUGGAAACGGUAGCUAGUACCGCAUAACUUCGCAAGCCCAAAGAGGGGGACCUUCGGGCCUCUUUCCUUCCGAUGUGCCCUGAUGGGAUUAGCUAGUAGGUGGGGUAACGGCUCACCUAGGCGACGAUCCCUAGCGGGUCUGAGAGGAUGACCAGCCACACUGGAACUGAGACACGGUCCAGACUCCUACGGGAGGCAGCAGUGGGGAAUAUUGCGCAAUGGGCGAAAGCCUGAUGCAGCAAUGCCGCGUGUAUGAAGAAGGCCUUCGGGUUGUAAAGUACUUUCAGCGGGGAGGAAGGGAGGAAAGUGAAUACCUUGGCUAAUUGACGUUACCCGAAGAAGAAGCAACGGCUAACUCCGUG
rnacentral:rRNA from 1 species